UACGGGGGGAGCAAGCGUUGUUCGGAUUUACUGGGCGUAAAGGGCGCGUAGGCGGCCACCGCAAGUCGACUGUGAAAUCUCCGGGCUUAACCCGGAAAGGUCAGCCGAUACUGCGGGGCUAGAGUGCAGAAGGGGCAACUGGAAUUCUCGGUGUAGCGGUGAAAUGCGUAGAUAUCGAGAGGAACACCUGCGGCGAAGGCGGGUUGCUGGGCUGAUACUGACGCUGAGGAGCGAAAGUGUGGGGAGCGAACAGG
rnacentral:rRNA from 1 species